UUGACGGUACCCUACUAGAAAGGAGCCGCUAACUUCGUGCCAGAAGCGUCGGUAAUACGGGGGCUCCAAGCGUUAUCCGGUGUUAUUGGGCGUAAAGAGUCGUGUAGGUGGUUGGGUAAGUUAUCUUUCAAAUAUCUUUGCUUAACAAAGAGGAGGGGGAUAAUACUGCUCGACUAGAAUUUUCUCAAGGGAGAUCGGAACUGAGGGAGGAGUAGUGAAAUGCGUUGAUACCCUCGGGAACACCAGUGGCGUAGGCGGAUCUCUGGGAGAAGAUUGACACUGAGACACGAAAGCUAGGGGAGCGAAGCAGAUUAGAGACCUGCGUAGUCCUAGCCGUAAACGCGUGCUUGCUAGCUGCAUGAAUCUACCUUCGGGUGGUAUCGUGUGGCGAAGGUAACCCGUUAAGCAAGCCGCCUGGAAAGUACGGCCGCAAGGCUGAAAUUCAAAGGAAUUGGCGGGGAGGCACACAACCAGUGGAACAUGUGGUUUAAUUCGAGACCAACCGAAGAACCUCACCAGGGUUUGACAUGUAGCUGCACGUCUUAAGAAAUUAAGACUCUCUUGAAGGUGCUACACAGGUGCUGCAUGGCUGUCGUCAGCUCGUUCCGUGAGGAGUGCCCUUAAGUGGGACAACGAGCGCAACCCCUAUUACAUGUUAGAAAUGUCAUGUAAGACUGCCUUGCCAUUUGGCGGGGAGGAAGGAGGGGCAGACGUCAAGUCCGCAUGGUCCUUAUGCCCUGGGCUACACACAUGUUACAAUGAGUACGGCAAUGAGUCUGUCGCGAGCACGUAAGUGUAAGCUAAUCUCUUAAAUGUACUCUCAGUGGGGAUUGAGGUCUGCAACUCGACCUCAUGAACACGGAAUUGGUAGUAAUCGCGGGUCAGCUAUACCGCGGUGAUACGUUCUUGCCUCUUGCACACACCGCCCGUCAAACCAGCAAAGU
rnacentral:rRNA from 1 species